rnacentral:rRNA from 1 species
CGUCGCUUUCGUAGGUGACCUGCGGAAGGAUCAUU